CCUUUGAAACGCAUAGAGGACAAAGCUCUCUUGGUGGAGGAUAUCAUCUCGUUUCAGGUGGUUUAUCGAGUCAGUGGAGCAUUUCAAAGAUUCAAGCAGGGGAUGAAGACCCUUGGUGUUCUUGAUGCAAUAAGAAAGCACCCAGAUGCUUUCAGACCACUGUUUCUGUCAAGAGCCAUCCCCAUUCACAGCUGAUGUACUAGAACAGCUCUUUGAAAUUCGACUGUCAGCAGUGGGCAGCAACAAAAGAAGGGCAGAGGGCAAUGUGUGCUUGCAUUUUGGAGGGACUACCCGCUGGAUGUUGAGGAGCAAGAGGGACCCUUAAAACUUGGG